UGGGGAAUUUUGGACAAUGGGCGAAAGCCUGAUCCAGCAAUGCCGCGUGUGUGAAGAAGGCCUUCGGGUUGUAAAGCACUUUUGUCCGGAAAGAAAUCCUUGGCUCUAAUACAGUCGGGGGAUGACGGUACCGGAAGAAUAAGCACCGGCUAACUACGUGCCAGCAGCCGCGGUAAUACGUAGGGUGCAAGCGUUAAUCGGAAUUACUGGGCGUAAAGCGUGCGCAGGCGGUUUGCUAAGACCGAUGUGAAAUCCCCGGGCUCAACCUGGGAACUGCAUUGGUGACUGGCAGGCUAGAGUAUGGCAGAGGGGGGUAGAAUUCCACGUGUAGCAGUGAAAUGCGUAGAGAUGUGGAGGAAUACCAAUGGCGAAGGCAGCCCCCUGGGCCAAUACUGACGCUCAUGCACGAAAGCGUGGGGAGCAAACAGGAUUAGAUACCCUGGUAGUCCACGCCCUAAAACGAUGUCAACUAGUUGUUGGGGAUUCAUUUCCUUAGUAACGUAGCUAACGCGUGAAGUUGACCGCCUGGGGAGUACGGUCGCAAGAUUAAAACUUAAAGGAAUUGACGGGGUCAUAGCUGUUUCCU
rnacentral:rRNA from 1 species